rnacentral:lncRNA from 1 species
AGGUGACGGACGUCGGUCAGACUUACCAUCAAAGUAUUAGUUGUAAUGGAUUCUCCAAGAGUGAUUAUCAGGUAGAAACCGCCGAUGACCCAUGAAGUAUAUUUUCUGUCUAUGCUUUAAAUGUAAGGAGGACCCAUUCUUGUUGCACAUUGGACAUGCUAGAUAUCCUUUGGUACUCUACCCAGAUAAGUUUUCAUAUGCAGAAAAAUUAUUUAU